rnacentral:rRNA from 1 species
UACAGAGGGGGCAAGCGUUAUUCGGAAUUAUUGGGCGUAAAGGGCGCGUAGGCGGCUUGGCAAGUGGAUGGUGAAAUCCCUCGGCUUAACCGAGGAACUGCCGUCCAAACUGCUUUGCUUGAGGCCGGGAGAGGUGAGUGGAAUUCCCAGUGUAGCGGUGAAAUGCGUAGAUAUUGGGAGGAACACCAGUGGCGAAGGCGGCUCACUGGACCGGUUCUGACGCUGAUGCGCGAAAGCGUGGGGAGCAAACGGG